UACAGAGGUCCCAAGCGUUGUUCGGAUUCAUUGGGCGUAAAGGGUGCGUAGGCGGCGCGGUAAGUCGGGUGUGAAAUCUCGGGGCUUAACUCCGAAACUGCAUUCGAUACUGCCGUGCUUGAGGACUGGAGAGGAGACUGGAAUUUACGGUGUAGCGGUGAAAUGCGUAGAUAUCGUAAGGAAGACCUGUGGCGAAGGCGGGUCUCUGGACAGUUCCUGACGCUGAGGCACGAAGGCCAGGGGAGCAAACGGG
rnacentral:rRNA from 1 species